rnacentral:rRNA from 1 species
UUGCCGUAGGAUGGGACUGCGGCCUAUCAGUUUGUUGGUGAGGUAAUGGCCCACCAAGACUAUUACAGGUACGGGCUCUGAGAGGAGUAGCCCGGAGAUGGGUACUGAGACACGGACCCAGGCCCUAUGGGGCGCAGCAGGCGAGAAAACUUUGCAAUGUGCGAAAGCACGACAAGGUUAAUCCGAGUGGUUUCUGCUAAAGGAACCUUUUGUCAGUCCUAGAAACACUGAUGAAUAAGGGGUGGGCAAGUUCUGGUGUCAGCCGCCGCGGUAAAACCAGCACCUCAAGUGGUCAGGAUGAUUAUUGGGCCUAAAGCAUCCGUAGCCUGCUUUGUAAGUUUUCGGUUAAAUCCAUACGCUCAACGUAUGGGCUGCCGGGAAUACUGCAAAGCUAGGGAGUGGGAGAGGUAGACGGUACUCGGUAGGAAGGGGUAAAAUCCUUUGAUCUAUUGAUGACCACCUGUGGCGAAGGCGGUCUACCAGAACACGUCCGACGGUGAGGGAUGAAAGCUGGGGGAGCAAACCGGAUUAGAUACCCGGGUAGUCCCAGCUGUAAACUAUGCAAACUCAGUGAUGCAUUGGCUUGAUGCCAAUGCAGUGCUGCAGGGAAGCCGUUAAGUUUGCCGCCUG